CCUACGGGAGGCAGCAGUGGGGAAUAUUGGACAAUGGGCGCAAGCCUGAUCCAGCCAUACCGCGUGUGUGAAGAAGGCCUUCGGGUUGUAAAGCACUUUAAGCAGGGAGAAAAAGUUAUAAGUUAAUACCUUAUAACCGUGAUGUUACCUGCAGAAUAAGCACCGGCUAAUUCCGUGCCAGCAGCCGCGGUAAUACGGAAGGUGCAAGCGUUAACCGGAAUUACUGGGCGUAAAGCGCGCGUAGGUGGUUUGUUAAGUUGGAUGUGAAAGCCCUGGGCUCAACCUAGGAACUGCAUCCAAAACUAACUCACUAGAGUACGAUAGAGGGAGGUAGAAUUCAUAGUGUAGCGGUGGAAUGCGUAGAUAUUAUGAAGAAUACCAGUGGCGAAGGCGGCCUCCUGGAUCUGUACUGACACUGAGGUGCGAAAGCGUGGGUAGCGAACAGGAUUAGAUACCCUGGUAGUCCACGCCGUAAACGAUGACAACUAGCUGUUGGAAGACAACGUCUUUCAGUGGCGCAGCUAACGUUUUAAGUUGUCCGCCUGGGGAGUACGGCCGCAAGGCUAAAACUCAAAUGAAUUGACGG
rnacentral:rRNA from 1 species